AUGUGCUCCCUUUGGCAACACAUAUAUACUAAAAUUGUAAAGAUACAGAGACAAUGAACAUGGCUCCUGUGUAAGGAUGACAUACAAAUGCAUGAUGUAUUCCAUAUUUUU
ensembl:snRNA U6 U6 spliceosomal RNA